GGUCCCGUAGCUCAGCUGGUUAGCAUAUCCGUCUGAUAUGCGGAAGGUCAUGGGUUCAAUCCCCAUCGGGACCA
rnacentral:tRNA from 1 species